GUCUAUUCUUCAUAACUAUCCCAAGAGAAAAUAUUACAAGUUUUAUUUUUCAGAGAAAACGGAUGCUCUCAGAGGUCAAGCAACUCUGAGUGGGUGGACCAAGAACCUGUAUGUGUCCUGAAUAUUCUCCUAGGGAAUCACUGAGGCUAUUCCCCCAAGCAGAUUUAAGAAAUUCCCAUUGUUACUUUGAGAUAACAACAAGGAAGUUUGGAAAGCAAGCGACUUAAGGAAGAAUCAAAAUCAUUGUCAGCGGCAGUCACAGCUGCAUGUCGGGCCACCAACAAGCUCCCGGGACAAAUGCCUGUUGACUGCAAGGCUGCAGUGAGAGAGCCAGUGAGCGUGUGAAAUCACAAAAUACCCUUCAAGCGUGAGGGAUUCUGAAAAUGAGCAAUCAAGUAAUAAAAACGUCAAGCAAAAUGAAAAACUUUUCCUUCAGGCAUGCACAACAGUAGCAGCCCACAUAGAAAAAUUCCAUUUGGAUAAAGGAUUCCAAGCUUUUAUGGAACGAAGUUAUGCUCGCCGUAGGACUAGAUUUGAUUGGCUCAUGGACUUUCAGGAAUUCACUGGGAAGACAAUGAAAUACCACCACAUACUUUUCUGUAUGUGGAAAAACUGGCACUUAUCUACUGUUGGCAGGAAUAUAAAAUGGUACCUCAUUUUGUAAAACCAUUUGGCAGGGUCUAAUAAAAAGACGUUUAC
rnacentral:lncRNA from 1 species